AGCAGCCGCGGUAAUUCCAGCUCCAAUAGCGUAUAUUAAAGUUGUUGCAGUUAAAAAGCUCGUAGUUGAAUUUCGGGGUUCUACCGUUGGUCGGGCUAUCCAGUCUGUACUAGCGUGUAGAAUUCCUACCUUCUGGGGAACCAUCAUGUUAUUAAUUUAGCGUGGUGGGAAACCAGGACCUUUACCUUGAAAAAAUUAGAGUGUUCAAAGCAGGCUUACGUCUGAAUACAUUAGCAUGGAAUAAUAAAAUAGGACGGUGGUCCUGUUUUGUUGGUUUCUGAAUCACCGUAAUGAUUAAUAGGGAUAGUUGGGGGCAUUAGUAUUCAAUUGUCAGAGGUGAAAUUCUUGGAUUUAUUGAAGACUAACUUCUGCGAAAGCAUUUGCCAAGGAUGUUUUCAUUAAUCAAGAACGAAAGUUAGGGGAUCGAAGACGAUCAGAUACCGUCGUAGUCUUAACCAUAAACUAUGCCGACUAGGGAUCGGACGAUGUUAAAUUUUAUUGACUCGUUCGGCGCCUUACG
rnacentral:rRNA from 1 species